rnacentral:tRNA from 1 species
GACGGUGUAGCUCAGUGGUAGAGUGCAUGCUUAACAUGCACGAGGUCCUGGGUUAAAUCCCCAGCACCUCCU